rnacentral:lncRNA from 1 species
UUUUAAUGGCAGAGUGUACCAUCUAAUAUUCCAGAAGCCCAACACGAAAACAUCAGUCCUCAAGAUGAUACAGUGAAUCUGUUUGCUAAUGUUCAGCAAGAUGGAGAAGAUGAACAAGCAUUCAUUUUGACCUUGGUGGAGAUCCCAACUAACACAACAGAAGGAUUUACCGACGCCUCCAUGCACUUAAUGCCGAGCUCUCUGCUGCCAGCACCUAUAUUGGUCAGAUCUGGGAAUGCAGUAGAAAGAGUUGACCUGAG